rnacentral:rRNA from 1 species
UACGGAGGGUGCAAGCGUUAUUCGGAAUUACUGGGCGUAAAGCGCGUGUAGGCGGUCCUGCAAGUCUGAUGUGAAAGCCCCGGGCUUAACCUGGGAAGUGCAUUGGAAACUGCAGGACUUGAGUACUGGAGAGGAUGGGGGAAUUCCCGGUGUAGAGGUGAAAUUCGUAGAGAUCGGGAGGAAUAUCAGUGGCGAAGGCGCCCAUCUGGACGGUUACUGACGCUGAGACGCGAAAGCGUGGGGAGCAAAC